UAGCCGUAAACGAUACUCGCUAGGUGUCGGCCACGGUGCGACCGUUGUCGGUGCCGUAGGGAAGCCGUGAAGCGAGCCACCUGGGAAGUACGGCCGCAAGGCUGAAACUUAAAGGAAUUGGCGGGGGAGCACCACAACGGGUGGAGCUUGCGGUUUAAUUGGACUCAACGCCGGACAACUCACCGGGAACGACAGCAAUAUGUAGGCCAGGCUGAAGACCUUGCCUGAAUCGCUGAGAGGAGGUGCAUGGCGUAGACGUCU
rnacentral:rRNA from 1 species